GGGCGCAUAGUAUAAUGGUAGUACAUAUUGCUGAUAUCGAUACAGUAGAGGUUCAAUUCCUCUUGGGCCUA